AUUGAACGCUGGCGGCAGGCCUAACACAUGCAAGUCGAGCGGCGCGGCGGACGGGUGAGUACUGCAUAGGAAUCUGCCUGGUCGUGGGGGAUAACGUCCGGAAACGGGAGCUAAUACCGCAUACUAUCAGAUGAGCCUAGGUCGGAUUAGCUCGUUGGUGGGGUAAAGGCAUACCAAGGCGACGAACCGUAACGGGUCUGAGUGGAUGAUCAGGCACACUGGAACUGAGACACGGUCCAGACUCCUACGGUAGGCAGCAGUGGGGAAUAUUGGACAAUGGGCGAAAGCCUUAUCCAGCCAUGCCGCGUGUGUGAAGAAGGUCUUCGGAUUGUAAAGCACUUUAAGUUGGGAGGCGUUACCAACAGAAUAAGCACCGGCUAACUUCGUGCCAGCAGCCGCGGUAAUUC
rnacentral:rRNA from 1 species